rnacentral:rRNA from 1 species
GAUGAACGCUGGCGGCGUGCCCAAUACAUGCAAGUCGAGCGAGUGGAUUAAGAGCUUGCUCUUAUGAAGUUAGCGGCGGACGGGUGAGUAACACGUGGGUAACCUGCCCAUAAGACUGGGAUAACUCCGGGAAACCGGGGCUAAUACCGGAUAACAUUUUGGUCCGCAUGGUUCGAAAUUGAAAGGCGGCUUCGGCUGUCACUUAUGGAUGGACCCGCGUCGCAUUAGCUAGUUGGUGAGGUAACGGCUCACCAAGGCAACGAUGCGUAGCCGACCUGAGAGGGUGAUCGGCCACACUGGGACUGAGACACGGCCCAGACUCCUACGGGAGGCAGCAGUAGGGAAUCUUCCGCAAUGGACGAAAGUCUGACGGAGCAACGCCGCGUGAGUGAUGAAGGCUUUCGGGUCGUAAAACUCUGUUGUUAGGGAAGAACAAGUGCUAGUUGAAUAAGCUGGCACCUUGACGGUACCUAACCAGAAAGCCACGGCUAACUACGUGCCAGCCGCCGCGGUAA